UGCCUUAGUAGCUCAGCGGUAGAGCGGUCGGCUGUUAACCGAUUGGUCGUAGGUUCAAGUCCUACCUGGGGCGA
rnacentral:tRNA from 6 species